CGACGAAUUACAUCACUCAAUGAAGCUAAAUAAAGAAGCACGAGUUAACCUCGUAUAGAAAAUAUCAAGUGAAUUAGUUAAUUCAAUCCUCACCAUUCUCAUCAUAGUUCCCCAUAUAAAACUAUGACUCCCUAACACGAAGUAUAUCGAUCAAAAUUGAAAAAUAACAUUCCUUUCCCCCAUCAUAUCGGCACGUACCGCUUCAACAUCUGCUUACCCGUCACCGCCACGCCAACCACGACACCGCCAAUAGCACCGGCCACCGCCGCCGAUCUCACCCCUCUUGCUGCACGAUAAAGCGCACCAGUGCCAAGUCCUGCUGCAAUACAGUUCCACACAUCGUCCGUAUCCCUCACAGCCUCAAUCCCGCUCUCCAAACCAGCAUAAAGCAACCCAAUCACGCCGAGCCGAUUCCCCCAAAGACGCCCUGAAUGACCAGACGAGUUCAGGAUCCGAUUGAUCCGGAGUUUCAUAGUAUCACCUGAUUCAAAAGAUUUGACGCCGGAUACGAGUCCUGUAGAUGCUCCGCCGACAGCACCAGCGAGGUAACCGCAACCAGUGUAGAAGGUGAGAUUCUCGCCCCAAGAUCGACGCUGGCGGCGAGCUUCUUCAUCGAAAAGAAACUCUGGGGAGGUUGGAAGCUGGAAGUUCCGAUAAGGAACCUGGAGAUCCUUGUAGGGAUUGUAAAGACGUGGUUGAGGUGAGCCAUGAUCAAACCCUGAAUCAGUAUCGCGAUUGGAAGAAUGGUCAGCCAUAG
rnacentral:misc_RNA from 1 species